CACUAUGCCUAUUGUAAUUGUGAGGUAUUACCUUGUGAGUGUUAUGAUAAAUGUUGGGAUUGUGGAAAAAGGUUUGUUUGCAGUGCCGAGAAUGAAAGCAGCGUCUAAUAAACAAUAAUAGGAUAAAAAGAAAAAGGGGGGAUUGUAAGAAACUAUGGACUAGGAUAUUGUUUAUUAAGAUUUAUGUUAAGCACCAGUGUAAAGGUUAGGCAACAAAAGAUAUGAAAUCGCUUAUGCAAACAGUCACCAGACACUGCUUGUGCAAGAUAAGAUAACCGCCAGAUGUCCAGGAACCGACAGAAACAGGACAGACAACCCCAUAUAAGGACAUAUGAAUGAGGGGUCAACUAUGGGACAAAAGAGGAAGACUUCUUACUUCGGCCUCAACGACCACCAGGAGGCAGAAAACGACCCCCUAACAACAACUGAAGCAUGCGCGGAGUACCUCCACUACUUCAUGAACACGGAAGUAAAGAUGUAUAAAAAGGG